rnacentral:ncRNA from 1 species
GAAAGAAAAUAUUUCGAUUUCCAAAGUAGCGGCGAGCGAAAUGGAAAGAGCCUAAACCAGAGGAUUUAUCCUUUGGGGUUACGGACCGCAAUCAAGUGACAUGAAAGGUAGCAGAAUGGUUUUGGGAAAGCCAGCCAAAGAGAGUGAAAGCCUCGUAUGCGAAACCGGAAGUGAGCGAGCGGGAUCCAAAGUACCACGAGACACGAGAAACCUUGUGGGAAGUCGGGGGGACCACCCCCCAAGGCUAAAUACUACUUAGUGACCGAUAGAGCAUAGUACUGUGAAGGAAAGGUGAAAAGAACCCCGGGAGGGGAGUGAAAGAGAACCUGAAACCCUGUGUUUACAAGCUGUGGAACCUCUCUUAACAGAGGAACCGCGUACUUUUUGUAGAACGGUCCGGCGAGUUACAUUUACUGGCGAGGUUAAGAGCUUUAGGCUCGGAGCCGAAGGGAAACCAAGUCUGAA